rnacentral:rRNA from 1 species
AACGCUAGCUACAGGCUUAACACAUGCAAGUCGAGGGGCAGCAUGGUCUUAGCUUGCUAAGGCCGAUGGCGACCGGCGCACGGGUGAGUAACACGUAUCCAACCUGCCGUCUACUCUUGGACAGCCUUCUGAAAGGAAGAUUAAUACAAGAUGGCAUCAUGAGUCCGCAUGUUCACAUGAUUAAAGGUAUUCCGGUAGACGAUGGGGAUGCGUUCCAUUAGAUAGUAGGCGGGGUAACGGCCCACCUAGUCUUCGAUGGAUAGGGGUUCUGAGAGGAAGGUCCCCCACAUUGGAACUGAGACACGGUCCAAACUCCUACGGGAGGCAGCAGUGAGGAAUAUUGGUCAAUGGGCGCAGGCCUGAACCAGCCAAGUAGCGUGAAGGAUGACUGCCCUAUGGGUUGUAAACUUCUUUUAUAAAGGAAUAAAGUCGGGUAUGUAUACCCGUUUGCAUGUACUUUAUGAAUAAGGAUCGGCUAACUCCGUGCCAGCAGCCGCGGUAAUACGUAGGAUCCGAGCGUUAUCCGGAUUUAUUGGGUUUAAAGGGAGCGUAGAUGGAUGUUUAAGUCAGUUGUGAAAGUUUGCGGCUCAACCGUAAAAUUGCAGUUGAUACUGGAUAUCUUGAGUGCAGUUGAGGCAGGCGGAAUUCGUGGUGUAGCGGUGAAAUGCUUAGAUAUCACGAAGAACUCCGAUUG